UAUCCACCCAACACUCCAACGUACGGACCGACCAGCUGCUGAGCUUUGAGCACCGGACUUAGCUUCCAGGUGGGAGGCACAUCUGGAGACCAACAUGUGAAGUUCGCUCUGGAGGCACAUUCGGCCCCCGUGGAGCCCGGGGUUGUGGCAGCGGAGGGGCUGCGCGAAGCGAGGCAACACGCGGUGUCCGGUGGUGGGGGCGGUGAGGGAAGCGAGGCGGGAACGCGGGGGGUCGGCGGACGCCUCUGCUGACUCAGUCGGCGGGAGUGGGAGGUGUGCGGCGCAGGUGAGCUGACUGUCCGGGCACCCAACGGUCGGCACCACGGCGGCCGCGGCGGAGGCCAACGCUGGGAUCUGCCGUCGGGGAAGUUCAUGGCGUGGUUGGACCCCGUGAACUUGCCGUCGGGGAAAUCCAGAUGCUGCGGUUUAUGUGGCGAGCCUCUGCAGUUCGUUCUGCGGGUGAUUUCUUUGUGUGCAAUGAAGUUGUGACACUCGAUUGCUUAUUGUUUGGAUGUCGACUUGGUCACAAUUGGGCUUGGUUUGGAUGUCGAUUGCUUAUUGUUUGUGAUGUAAAGCCGCGCGCGGGUGGGUACAGCGAGUUAACUUUCAUUUCAAACCGAAUCGAAGAUCGGAAGAUGGCCGUGAGUCCGUGACCUUUUCGACAGCUUGCGUUGCGUUGCUUUGCGUGCGCCAGCCAUAAGCAGAAUCAAAGGCACCACCACCGCUGUGAGCGGUCCUUUUUUAUUGUUUUCUUGCUCCUUUUCAUGGCGCCGACCCAUCUGUCUGACGCCGCGGCCUUGAUUUGUUUCAAUGGUUGGUUGUUGUUCAGAUUUACUUUUCCAUUCGUGUUCUCGUGGGAAUCGCUAAGAUCAAUAAACAGAGUAUUUGCCAGCUUGAUUGCGCAAUUAGUUGAUUUGGGGUACAAAAGAGUGUUUACUAUUGUUUAAUUCAUAUUCAGGAUUACACAGAGCUAUACUUCAGUUGGAGGGUUUUCCCCUUUCCCCUCACGUUGGAGGGUUCCCAGCGACGAACGGACUUGAUUUCAUUCAACAAGAUGAAACCUGUUGCUAGUCUGAAGCACAGAAGCUUGUUAGCGUUUGUGGAUAUAAGGAGUCUGCUAGCCUGUUCAAGUAGUAUAUUUAACAUCAGGAGCACGACUGCCUUCCUGAAACUCAGCUUACAGAACAGGUGCACAUUUUAAUCAUUCAGAGAGAGACAACCAAUUCUGAAAGGAGUUUAGAAGAACCAGCGCGCCUCCAGAUAAUCUGAUUUCAUGGGCACAAGCAGUGACUGGCUGAAGUCCAAUUCCUAGGUGUUCUUGAGCAGCCAAAUCUGGUGAAGCUGAUUGGCUAUUGCGUUGUGGAUUCAGAAACAAGCAAGCACAGGGUGUUGGUUUAUGCGUUCAUGCCCAACAAGACUUUGGAUGAUCACCUGUUCAACCGAGCAUAUCAUCCCCUUUCAUGGAGACGGAUGCUGCAGACCACGAUCGGUGCCGCGCUGGGCCUGGAUUUCCACCAUGAAGGAGUACGAGAAGUUAAGUUUUAUUUCUGGACCAGAACUAUGCAUGAUCAGAAUCUCUGAAUUGUACCGCGCUAAAUACGCAUUGCAGUCACGACACGUUGAAUACAUUCUCUGAAACUUCAAAAUGAACAAAAAGCCGUGGACACAAACUUUCUUAGCUGAAUGUGCAUGCAAAAUUACCUGCAUUAUAUUUGUUGCAGUAAAUAUUAAAAUAGAGUGACAUCUCGUAUAAAUUGUUGCAGUAAUAUAUAUUUGUUGCAGUAAUAUAUAUUAAAAUAGAGUGACAUCUCGUAUCUCUACUAUAAUUCAUGUCAUGUAUGCGAUAUUUACCAAUAGUCAUAGGUUCUGUAUUUCUAGACGUGGUUGUUGUGCCGUUGCUAGUAUCGUUUGGUUGGAUAUUUUCCUUGUCCAAACAAAGUGCAGACUUCUGGGAUUCGGCAUUCUUCCUUUGUCGAUAUUGACGCGAGUACUCACGUUGUUUCCUUCUCAUCUCCUCCUUUCGUUCGUCGGACAUCUCGGCUCGACGAGCCCGUAGCCGCAAGUUCCGUUCUUCCCUCGUCCGUCGGACAUCAUCUAUAGAGAGAGAUAGGAAAUAAAUAGACACCCACAAAUACUAUACAUGUACCUUAUUUGGCAUCAUACCUGCGACGUUAGUGAUGUCACUUAGUGCACCGAGUGUAUCUCGGGCCGUCGACAUUGAGUAGGUGAGGAGGCAACACCUUUUGAUUUUUCAAAGGAUCGCGGUUGUCCACAAUAGAAUAAUCAGAAUGCACAAAUUUAGAGAGAAACAAAUAAUAACGCAGGCAUAAAUUCAGAGAGAUAAAUAAAAAUUAAUGCAGGUAGAGAGUCGAUGUUUUCGAAAUGUGUAAAUUUCAGUUGAAGCCAAGUAUUAUUUAUAAUAUAUAUUUUCUUUGCAGUAGUAGAAGUAUAAUAUAUAUUUUUUUUGCAGUAGUAGAAGAAGCACAUUGGAAUGCACAAGUGGACCUGGUUCUUCACGAGGCGUCCAGAGACGAAGGAGGUCGACGGUGAUGACGAAGCCGACGUGAUGCAGUCGAUGCCUUGAAAUCCCAAGCGCGGCGAUCGUUGGAGCCCUUUCUGCACUGUAUUAUCUUGUAUG